GGGAGGGGCCAUGCCUUCAGCUGGAGUAGCUGUGAAUUGGGAUGAAGGAUUCAACCCGCAUGCUGUGAAAGGAGUUGGCCACAGAGUGAUCGAAGGGCGUCAUGCGAAUAAGCGCCAAAGAGAUGACCGGGGAAAUACCAACCUCCCCAACGCUCCUGACCACCACAGUUAACUCCUCAUCAACAGUACAACACCCAACGCCAUCAACAGAAGCCCCAUACCAAACGCAGAUGUACGAUUCCUCAAGGAGCUACCUCUCACACACCUUCGACCAAACAACAAUUUUGAAGGAACUGGAAGCAAUUGGACUUAUUUGGUCACAAGGCUUAUUCAUCCGCUAUGCUCCAAUUCUGCAUAUUCAAGAAUGAGAAGGGAACGAAAUAACUAUUGAACUACACUAAAAACUAACAGGCUGGACUUGUCUUCCUCUUGCUCCAGAGACCUUGACCCCACAUGAAGCAAGGCAAGUACAUCCCACCAGGCAGCCAGCACUAAUCAGCUGGGUACUCUUCUGUCUCUGACCAGUGGAUGAGACCCAGCUGCCUCCAUCUACAGAGACUGGAUUCCAAUGAUCCUAUCUGAAUUUGCCUCUGAAGAGCUAGGCUGCAGUUUUUAUGUACAGUAAGUUUCAAAGGAACCUAUGAGUAUAGGGUAUGCCAAUGAGGCAGUGAGUGAGUAUUUUCAAGGGCUUCUCAUGUGGUACUGCAUUGGCGACUUUCUUAACUAGGGUUGCCAGGCGUCUGUUUUUUGACUGGAACGCCCAGUUGAAAAGGGACUCUGGCGGCUCCAGUUGGCAUCGCUGACUGGGCCGUUAGGAGUCUGGUUGGUGGCACAGCAGAAGCCCGGGGCUAAGGCAGGGUCCCUACCUGCCCCGACUCCGUGUUGCUCCCGGAAGCAGCCACCAGGUCCCUGUGGCCCCUAGGUGCUGGGGUGGUCAGGGACUGUGAGGCUCCGUGCGCUGUCCCCACCCCAAAUACUGGCUCUGCAGCUCCCAUUAGCUGGGAGCCAAUGGGAGCGGGGGGGGGCGGUGCCUGCAGG